ACAUCCACUGAGUGCUGUCUGCGUGUGUCACGCUCUGUGUGCUGUGGAUAUUAACUGUUUUACCGCCUUUAACUUGCAGAACACAGAGACGUGUAGGUAACAGCCUGGUCCUCAUUCCGCCGACGAGGAAGCAGAGUCAUCUAGCCUGUAGGUAGAAAACGUGUCAGACAUAGUCUCUAUCCCACGUCUAAGCUGACAAGAGUCCCACAGAAGGCCCUCCAUUGACCAGUUCCAGCACCUCCAAGUCCCACAGAAGGCCCUCCACUGACCAGUUCCAGCACCUCCAAAGUCCCCGAGGUCAAGGCUCUGUCUCCAGCUGCAAAGUCAAUGCCUGAACUCUGUCGGCCAUGCACACCUCGUGUUUCCCGGAACUUUCGAGAUUAUGUUAAACUGAGUGGCGAUAAGGGAUGCCCUUGAUUUCUGGUCUGGAAGAGAUUGCGUCUUAGAUUUUUCUGUGAAGUCUGAUGUUUCCUGGGAGUUUCUGGAAAGCUGCGUGGGCCCUCCAGGCCCCUGGAGACAUGAGGAUCUGCACCCACGCAGGUGACAUGGCUGCCUUCUAGCCGCCAAGGGUGGGGUCACCACUGCACUGACACAGAUGGCCCAUCCCCACCCCAGCUACUGUGCGGCACCUCAGCUCUGCAGAAAUCACCCGCAGGCACACAGACAGAACUGCCCCUACUGCAGAUGCCAGUUGCAAGGAAGAGGAAGAGUGACAUCGGCCGCGCCCCCAGCCUGUGCCCAGAAAAGGCCAUGUGAGGACACAGCCAGGGACAGUGUCUGCAGCCUGGGAAGCUGCCCUCUCCAGGAGCCGAGCCGCCGGAGCCUUGAUCCUGGACUUCCGGCCUCCGGAACUAUAAGGAAUAGUCUGUUGCUGCAGCUGCCUGUCUGCGGGUUCUGUGGGGGCAGCCCACGCUGUCUGAGACAGGCCCCCUCCGAGUCCUGGCACCCUCCCCACCCCCAGCAUGCGGGCCGGGCCUCGGGUGCUCACUGCCCCACCUUUGCUUCUGCUGACCCUCUUUGCUCCUCCCCAGCCACUGGGCAGGUCCUGACUCCUCUCCCAAGGUCCAGUGUGAAGCCGUCGCCUCUUCUGAGCUUUCACAGCCCUCAGGGAGCAAAGCCCUUACGGGGUCUGAGCUCUGAGGCCCGUGCCCAUCUUCCCUCCAAACCUUGCCUGAAAAACAGGAAAAUACUAGAACCUCUACACAGGGCUGGGGGUGCGGGACUGUGAUAAAGCCCCUGAAGGGCUCUCAUGCCCAUCCUGGAAAGAUCCAUGCUGCUCCUGGGGAGGCCAGGCUCCCGGAGAGCAGGGACAGUGACUGAGACAGCCCGGGUAUGGUGCUCUGGAAUCCUGCUGGGAACAGCUGCCUCCAGCACAUGGUGGGAGGUGCAUGGUGGAGGCCGACCUGGGCGGGGGCUGGAGAGUGGAACAGGUCGGCUUCCCUCUGCAGGGACCUCUGGGGGCUGGGACUGUACCUCUUUUCUCUGCCUUUGUGUCUCCAGUGCUCUGCAAUGGCCAGGCACCCUGUGC